UACGUAGGGUGCAAGCGUUGUCCGGAAUUAUUGGGCGUAAAGAGCUCGUAGGCGGUCUGUCGCGUCGGAUGUGAAAACCCAGGGCUCAACCCUGGGCCUGCAUUCGAUACGGGCAGACUAGAGUUCGGUAGGGGAGACUGGAAUUCCUGGUGUAGCGGUGAAAUGCGCAGAUAUCAGGAGGAACACCGGUGGCGAAGGCGGGUCUCUGGGCCGAAACUGACGCUGAGGAGCGAAGGCGUGGGGAGCGAACGGG
rnacentral:rRNA from 1 species